rnacentral:rRNA from 1 species
AACGAACGCUGGCGGCAAGCCUAACACAUGCAAGUCGAACGGAACCUUCGGGUUAGUGGCGCACGGGUGCGUAACGCGUGGGAAUAUACCCCUGGGUGCGGAACAACGUCGGGAAACUGACGCUAAUACCGCAUAAUAUCUACGGAUCAAAGAUUUAUCGCCCAGAGAUUAGCCCGCGUCUGAUUAGCUAGUUGGUGAGGUAAUGGCUCACCAAGGCGACGAUCAGUAGCUGGUCUGAGAGGAUGAUCAGCCACACUGGAACUGAGACACGGUCCAGACUCCUACGGGAGGCAGCAGUUAGGAAUAUUGGACAAUGGGGGAAACCCUGAUCCAGCCAUGCCGCGUGUGUGAAGAAGGCCUUAGGGUUGUAAAGCACUUUCAGCUGUGAAGAUAAUGACAGUAGCAGAAGAAGAAGCUCCGGCUAAAUUCGUGCCAGCAGCCGCCGUAA